rnacentral:rRNA from 1 species
CCUACGGGUGGCUGCAGUGAGGAAUAUUGGUCAAUGGACGGAAGUCUGAACCAGCCAUGCCGCGUGCAGGAUGACGGCUCUAUGAGUUGUAAACUGCUUUUGUACGAGAAUAAUAGUUCUUACGUGUAGGGAUUUGAAUGUAUCGUACGAAUAAGGAUCGGCUAACUCCGUGCCAGCAGCCGCGGUAAUACGGAGGAUUCGAGCGUUAUCCGGAUUUAUUGGGUUUAAAGGGUGCGCAGGCGGCCUGUUAAGUCAGCGGUAAAAGCCCGGGGCUCAACCCCGUACUGCCGUUGAAACUGCAUCCCUUGAGUGCGCGAGAAGUAUGCGGAAUGCGUGGUGUAGCGGUGAAAUGCAUAGAUAUCACGCAGAACUCCGAUUGCGAAGGCAGCAUACCGGCGCGCAACUGACGCUCAUGCACGAAAGCGUGGGGAUCGAACAGGAUUAGAUACCCGUGUAGUC